rnacentral:miRNA from 1 species
UAGUACGAGAAGUACCCACA